AACGUAGGACACAAGCGUUAUCCGGAGUUACUGGGCGUAAAGGGCGUGUAGGCGGAUCUGUAAGUCUACUCUGAAAGCUCCUGGCUAAACUGGGAGAGGCGAGUGGAGACUGUCGGUCUAGAGUGAGGAAGAGGAAAGUGGAAUUCCGCGUGUAGUGGUGAAAUGCGUAGAGAUGCGGAGGAACACCAGUGGCGAAAGCGGCUUUCUGGUCCUUAACUGACGCUGAGGCGCGAAAGCAUGGGGAGCGAACGGG
rnacentral:rRNA from 1 species